AGAGUUUGAUCAUGGCUCAGAAUAAACGCUGGCGGCGUGCCUAACACAUGCAAGUCGCACGAGAACGCUUCAGCUUGCUGGAGCUAGUAAAGUGGCGCACGGGUGAGUAACGCGUGGGUAAUCUGCCUCCGAAUUGGGGAUAACACUGCGAAAGCGGUGCUAAUACCGAAUGAUGUCUCCGAGGUUCCGGUCUUGGAGACCAAAGGUGGCCUCUACAUGUAAGCUACCGUUUGGAGAUGAGCCCGCGUACCAUUAGCUUGUUGGUAGGGUAACGGCCUACCAAGGCUGCGAUGGUUAGCUGGUCUGAGAGGAUGAUCAGCCACACUGGAACUGACACACGGUCCAGACUCCUACGGGAGGCAGCAGUGAGGAAUUUUGCGCAAUGGGGGAAACCCUGACGCAGCAACGCCGCGUGAGUGAUGAAGGCCUUCGGGUCGUAAAGCUCUGUCAAGUGGAAAGAACCUGUCCUGUGCGAAUAUCACGGGGCACUGACGGUACCACUGAAGGAAGCACCGGCUAACUCCGUGCCAGCAGCCGCGGUAAUACGGAGGGAGCGAACGUUGUUCGGAUUCACUGGGCGUAAAGGGCGUGUAGGCGGUCUGGCAAGUCAGGGGUGAAAUGCCACGGCUCAACCGUGGAAUUGCCCUUGAAACUGCCGGACUUGAGGCCGUGAGAGGAGACUGGAAUUCCCAGUGUAGCGGUGAAAUGCAURGAUAUUGGGAAGAACACCAGUGGCGAAGGC
rnacentral:rRNA from 1 species